AUUGAACGCUGGCGGAAUGCUUUACACAUGCAAGUCGAACGGUAGAGGGGGCAACCCCUCGAGAGUGGCGAACGGGUGAGUGAUAUAUCGGAACGUGCCCAGUCGCGGGGGAUAACGUAGCGAAAGUUACGCUAAUACCGCAUACGAUCUAAGGAUGAAAGCGGGGGAUCGCAAGACCUCGCGCGAUUGGAGCGGCCGAUAUCAGAUUAGGUAGUUGGUGGGGGAAAGGCUCACCAAGCCAACGAUCUGUAGCUGGUCUGAGAGGACGACCAGCCACACUGGAACUGAGACACGGUCAAGACUCCUACGGGAGGCAGCAGUGUGGAAUUUUGGACAAUGGACGCAAGUCUGAUCCAGCCAUUCCGCGUGCAGGAUGAAGGCCCUCGGGUUGUAAACUGCUUUUGUACGGAACGAAAAGGUCUCUCUUAAUACGGGGGACUCAUGACGGUACCGUAAGAAUAAGCACCGGCUAACUACGUGCCAGCCGCCGCAGUAA
rnacentral:rRNA from 1 species